GUCCAGGCCUUCAUCUUUCUUCUGUGCUGGAUGCUUCCCUGCUCUUGAACAUCAAGACUUCAGGUUUUGGGACUCAGACUGAGCCACUGCUGGCUUCCUUGCUCCUCAGCUUGCAGAUGCCUAUUGUGGGACUUCACCUUACAGUCAUGUGGCCUUCCCAGGACUUGACUCCAUAUGCAUGUUCUCGUCCAUGGGCUCAUACCCAGUCCAAAGGACUUUACCCCAGCUCCAUCUUUGCCCAGACACACUUGAGGCUGCAGGGUUUUGCUUCCCAAGGCCCUCACCAGAAUCAGAUGCUGGCACCAUGCUUCCUGUACAGCUUAUAAAACCGUGAGCCAAUUAAAUCUCUUUUCCUUAUAAAUUGCCAAGCCUCAGGUAUUCAUUUAUAGCAAUGGAAAUGGACCAACAGAGGUAGUCUGCUUUAUAAUGGGUCAGAACGUGAAUCACAUGAGGAUACGAUAGUGCUUGUUAUUCCUGAAUUUUCCACAUCAUACAAUUCACCUUCUGGGCUCCAUAUAGGGGAAGUGAUUCUGGAAAACGUGGUUCCCACUUCAGAAGGAACAGUGGUGUUGGGGACACGUUGACAACAGAAAGUCUAGCACAGUCCACCCCAUUCAAAAAUAAGCAUCUGUAGACAUUUUCAACUUCCAAAUAAAAGCAGCAACAAUACUAUUUUCCACCUAAUGUGAUGCAACUAUUCAUUUUACAACCCAAAGACCUUUAAUCUUCUCUAUGGAAGAGAUAUUUGAAAAUGCUAGUCCGUCUCCCAGAUGACUAACAACCCCUUUUGCUCUUUCAUGCUAUAAAUACCAAGGAUCAACCAAUAUAAA
rnacentral:lncRNA from 1 species